GUUAACGGUCAAAGUGUGUGGGGAAACACCCGAUCCCUUUUCGAACUCGGAAGUUAAGCCCAUGUGCGUUAUCAUCUGUACUGAAUUCAAUUUGGGAACAUGGUAAACUGUUAACA
rnacentral:rRNA from 1 species